UGCUGUUUUCCUAACCUGAUAUGUCUUUCUUCCAUAAUCUUUUACAGGCCUUGGAAGAUUCAAAGAAUUUAUGUCUAUCACAGUGGCCAGUGGAAGACUUGAGAAGAAAAUGUCUUCUAAAUAUAAGCCAGAUGCUUUUGCCUUAAAUAUCCAUUUCUGGAGUAGGAAAAUCAAAUGCUCUGAAAAUUACACAGCGGCCUUUUCUUAUUAAAAGCAUCCCAACACCAAAUAUACGUUCACACUAAAAUUAAAACAAGGAACUAAACGGGAAAAGCUUGGAAGCUAGAAUAUUGCCGGCUGUGUACAUGAGGUAUGAUUUAAAAUGACAGCAAGCAAUGCUCCAAUCAGCCUGUUGGUUAGUUAGAAAGUGUGGACACCCAGUCAAGAUUCCGCCUGAAUACACACCCAAUGCUGUACCCAAAACUAUCGUGCAGAAAUGCUUGUUUUACCCAGGUACCCUAUGAGAAUAUUUAGCUGUUACAUUGUAAAUGCUGUUAUUUUGGUUUCUAAAAAUGGUAUGACAGGAAAUGAUUCCAUGGCAUAGUUGCCAAGGUGGCUGUUAAGCAGAAUCAAGAGCAGGGGGGUGGGGGGAGUUAAACUUAGACAACAAGAAACUAGAAAAGGUGAAAAUACUACUUACUUUCUGCAAUAAAAUAAUUCUUAUAAUCCAAAAUAAACUUGAUUGGUUCCCUCUAAAUGUCAUCACCCAGAAGGCUGUUUAUGCUUAAAGAGUCCCUGCUGCUCUUUGUCCCAAUGGUUAUAAAAUCUGCCAUCACCUUCGGGUCAAUUGCCUGGUUGAUAAAUGACUAAAGAAAGACAUCCAGUUUGUAUAGAGACAAGAGGUGAGUCCUUCUCGUCCUUAUUUCCCAGCUGCUACAGCCAAUGGGCAAUUGAGGUCUUUUGGUAAGAAUUUCUGCAGGUUCAGAAAGAAUCAUACUUGUACUGAUUCUUAUUCUCACCCUAUCGGAGAAGUACAAGGUGAAAACAGGUGAAAACAGAGGCUGUUCAGGAAAUAACUAUAGUUAUU
rnacentral:lncRNA from 1 species